rnacentral:rRNA from 1 species
AUUCCAGCUCCAAUAGCGUAUAUUAAUGUUGUUGCAGUUAAAAAGCUCGUAGUUGGAUUCCUGGCACGGGGUAGCCGGUCCGCCCCUCACGGGGUGUGCACCUGGUCUCUACGUCCAUCCCCGGGGAGAGCGCGUCUGGCAUUCAGUUGUCGGGCGCGGGAUCCUCGUCAUUUACUGUGAGCAAAAUAGAGUGUUCAAAGCAGGCUUAGGCCGUUGAAUACAUUAGCAUGGAAUAAUAAGAUAGGACCUUGGUCUAUUUUGUUGGUUUGCAUUCCAAGGUAAUGAUUAAUAGGGAUAGUUGGGGGUAUUCGUAUUCAAUUGUCAGAGGUGAAAUUCUUGGAUUUAUGGAAGACGAACUACUGCGAAAGCAUUUACCAAGGAUGUUUUCAUCA